rnacentral:rRNA from 1 species
AUUGAACGCUAGCGGGAUGCCUUACACAUGCAAGUCGAACGGAGAGUCGAACGGGUGAGUAAUGUAUCGUAACGUGCCCAGUAGCGAGGGAUAACUACGCGGAGGCGUAGCUAAUACAACAUACUAUUAGAGCGGCCGAUGUUGGAUUAGCUGGUUGGUGGGGUAGCGGCUCACCAAGGCGACGAUCCGUAGCUGGUUUGAGAGGACGACCAGCCACACUGGGACUGAGACACGGCCCAGACUCCUACGGGAGGCAGCAGUGGGGAAUUUUGGACAAUGGGGGAAACCCUGACCCAGCCAUGCCGCGUGAGCGAUGAAGGCCUUCGGGUUGUAAAGCACUGUUGGCAGGAAAGCGGUACCUGCAGAAUAAGCACCGGCUAACUACGUGCCAGCAGCCGCGGUAAUAC